rnacentral:rRNA from 1 species
AGAGUUUGAUCAUGGCUCAGGAUGAACGCUAGCUACAGGCUUAACACAUGCAAGUCGAGGGGCAGCAUGGUCUUAGCUUGCUAAGACUGAUGGCGACCGGCGCACGGGUGAGUAACACGUAUCCAACCUGCCGUCUACUCUUGGACAGCCUUCUGAAAGGAAGAUUAAUACAAGAUGGCAUCAUGAGUCCGCAUGUUCACAUGAUUAAAGGUAUUCCGAUAGACGAUGGGGAUGCGUUCCAUUAGAUAGUAGGCGGGUAACGCCCACUAGUCUUCGAUGGAUAGGGGUUCUGAGAGGAAGGUCCCCCANAUUGGAACUGAGACACGGUCCAAACUCCUACGGGAGGCA